rnacentral:rRNA from 1 species
CCUACGGGAGGCAGCAGUGAGGAAUAUUGGUCAAUGGGCGGGAGCCUGAACCAGCCAAGCCGCGUGAGGGAAGAAGGUAUAGCGUAUCGUAAACCUCUUUUGUCAGGGAACAAAGGCGGGGACUAGUCCCCUGAUGAGGGUACCUGAAGAAAAAGCAUCGGCUAACCCGGUGCCAGCAGCCGCGGUAAUACGGAGGAUGCGAGCGUUAUCCGGAUUUAUUGGGUUAAAGGGGUGGGCGGGCGGCCUGUUAAGUCAGCGGUAAAAGCCCGGGGCUCAACCCCGGCGAGCCGUUGAAACUGGCGGGCUGGAGUUGGGUAGAAGUACGCGGAAUGCGCGGUGUAGCGGUGAAAUGCUUAGAUAUCGCGCAGAACCCCGAUUGCGAAGGCAGCGUACCGGCUCCACACUGACGCUGAGGCACGAAAGCGUGGGUAUCGAACAGGAUUAGAUACCCUAGUAGUC